rnacentral:rRNA from 1 species
CCACUGGAUGAGGGGCCUGCGUAGCAUCAGCUAGUUGGUGGGGUAAUGGCCUACCAAGGCGAAGACGCUUAGCUGGUCUGAGAGGAUGAUCAGCCACACUGGGACUGAGACACGGCCCAGACUCCUACGGGAGGCAGCAGUGGGGAAUAUUGGACAAUGGGCGCAAGCCUGAUCCAGCCACGCCGCGUGAGUGAUGAAGGCCUUCGGGUCGUAAAGCUCUGUGGGGAGGGACGAACGGCGCCAUGAAGAGUGGCGAUUGACGGUACCUCCUUAGCAAGCACCGGCUAACUUCGUGCCAGCAGCCGCGGUAAUACGAAGGGUGCAAACGUUGCUCGGAAUCAUUGGGCGUAAAGCGCACGUAGGCGGCUUUCUAAGUCGGAUGUGAAAUCCCUCGGCUUAACCGAGGACGUGCAUCCGAAACUGGGAGGCUUGAGUAUGGAAGAGGGUCGCAGAAUUCCCGGUGUAGAGGUGAAAUUCGUAGAUAUCGGGAGGAAUACCAGUGGCGA